CCUCCAUGGUUUCAUCAUACAUCUCAUCAUCCUGGUUGCCUGGAAUCUGGACGUGGCCAGCAGAGAGGAACCGAUAGUUGCCAUAAUUUUCAAGCAGAAGCUCCUCUGUCAACAUACAAUGGAGUACAAAUCACCAUGCAAGUAUGCCGAGUUUAUCCUGUCAACCUCACGUAUGACGGGUUAGGUGCUGCCAACCCAAGGGAAAGCAGUGUCAAAUAUUGGUGCAAUAUGGACAUGUGACACAUUCAAAAUAAACUCGAAUAUUCUGGUCCAGCCCUAAAGCAUUUAUGAAUAUCAUUCUGUCACUGCUUUGCUCAGUAAACUCUAUCCAUUAUCGUCAUGAUGGAGAUAGACUAAAAGCAUUAAAAAUGGUAUAAACAUUUCUCCACCUACCGCGUAAUUUGUCCUUUGCUCCUGAAACCAUGUAGUAGAAAAUGUGGAAGGCUCUUUCUGUUUUUGCUUGUCUGAUACAGCGAGAUUUUUCCAGUAGAUCUGAGAUGGUUUGGAUGUUAAGGUGAAACUUUUAUUCUAAUAAAGAUAUAAAACAAACAUG